rnacentral:rRNA from 1 species
GAUGAACGCUAGCGGGAGGCCUAACACAUGCAAGCCGAGCGGUAGAGUUUCUUCGGAAACUUGAGAGCGGCGCACGGGUGCGUAACACGUGUGCAACCUACCUUUAUCUGGGGGAUAGCCUUUCGAAAGGAAGAUUAAUACCCCAUAAUAUAAUGAUUGGCAUCAAUUAUUAUUGAAAACUCCGGUGGAUAGAGAUGGGCACGCGCAAGAUUAGAUAGUUGGUGAGGUAACGGCUCACCAAGUCAAUGAUCUUUAGGGGUCCUGAGAGGGAGAUCCCCCACACUGGUACUGAGACACGGACCGGACUCCUACGGGAGGCAGCAGUGAGGAAUAUUGGACAAUGGGUGAGAGCCUGAUCCAGCCAUCCCGCGUGAAGGAUGACGGUCCUAUGGAUUGUAAACUUCUUUUGUACAGGGAUAAACCUACCCUCGUGAGGGUAGCUGAAGGUACUGUACGAAUAAGCACCGGCUAACUCCGUG